ACUUUGAAUCAUCUAUCAAAAUUCGCAUCAAUCAAACGCCCCUCCACUCAGCAUAGUUCCCAACUCAAUCAACCGAAUGGCAGCCACACCUUCCGAUCGGACGACCUACCUCUGCGAUAUCCACCAUUCAUCUCCCCUCCCUGCCAACUCCAGAAUUCCAUUCGCAGGGCCUUAAUUGAAAAUUGCUGUCAUGAAAAAUACUCGUAAACUACGCUUCUAAGAAGUGGCCCAGACAAUCGAGUGUAUUGUGUGUGCACAAUAUAAAUUUCUCAUAACAAUUGUACAAUAUGCAUAACAACGCCGAGUUCCAGUUUCAAUACACCGCACCUCAUCAAAGUCUGGGGCCCAACAAAGAACACAAGUGUUCCGGUGGACACAAACUCGAUUGGAGGCCCAACCGAUCCGAACUCGAGCGGUACGAACCAAACCGAGCUGGAAAUCGUAAAAGCCGUGCUGGGAUUAUGGCUGGAAAACUAUUGUCUGGACCAGAGCUCUAAGGUAGUAAAACGUAUGUAUAUUGCCGAGCCAAAGAUGAGCUCAAUAUCAGCUGCACUUUAAUCUUACACGGCGAAAAGUGAUAUAUCUGAAAUAAUCAAUGUGAAAACAGGGACCAGAAUUGAAUAGAACUUAAUGAAAUAUUUUUCCAACAGGCUGUAUUCAUUUAUUAAUCCUUUGUUAUGUCCGAGGGAUAGUUAUUUGUUUCCUGUGUAGAAUUUUCGAGUGGCGAAUGGCACUUCAACCCGUUCUCCGGGUCGAGGCCCCGCAGUCCGGCCAAGACGCACACUCGGGCGUAUUCGAGUAGGACAAACAAUACAGGCUUCAAAAACGCUUCGUUGCAUAUCAAAUUAAUUACAGAGCAGGCCCGAAAAAGAGGAGAGCGGCGGACCCGACCGGCCUGUCAGACAACCCUUGAAGAUUGUUUUCUUCUGCAGGGCCGAAAACUUUUUGCACAAAGGCGAGUUAAGCUUUUGUGACUGCACACGGUGAGGACUUUCUGGGGUGGCAGGAGGAGGAGAGGGGAAAGGGGAAAGGGGGAGGAGGAGGACGAUGCGACAGCUGACAGCCAACAACUCAUGCACAGUGAGAACUGAAGGCAUAAUUUAUGCCUUCAAAGUGGAUUGUUCAAAGAAAACUUGGACCAUUUUUCCCCUGAACAACAACAUCAGCGGCAGCCAGAGCACGUCCUGUCCUCAUCUUAGUCCUCAUCCUCGUUGUCCUCGGUACGUUCUUGUCAACAUUGAGAACAAUAAAGUCGAAAACAAGAUGAAUAGCCAGCCCGGGGACGACGUCGAAUUGGAUAUGCUCUCUACCUCGUUUGUUCCAGGGAAUCUUCAGGGAUUUCCCCUCAGAGGAUGACUGGAAAUCACGUCCUUUGAUCGAAAAUGAAAUAAUGCGAUAGGAAAACAUAGGCUGUUCUUGGGUAGAAGGUCUCCCUUUCAGGACUGGUUUUAAUUACAAUAGAGUUUAUACUUUGAAUUAGUUAUUUGUGCAUGCCCAAAACUGAAAUGGGGAUGAAAGAGAAACUUAAAAUCAGUAGCAGUCUUUACGCGCCUUGAAAGGGCAUUUGCAAUCCGCGGAGACAGUUUCCAGAUCCGUGCGGUUUUUGUGUGUUUUUCGGUCAUGACAAAACAAAAUAAGAGCCGAGGAGAAUGCAACUAAAACUGAAAAUUUGAAACAAAGGGAUGUGCGGCUGCAGAAACAAACCGAACCAGCAACAACCAGGACAGAGCCCGUCGAGAAACAGAAGCGAAACCCGGAGCAGAAACUCAUUCACUCCCAGUUUGCUGUUCAAACAGAAGAUUCUCGGGAAAUGGGCCGAGAAGUGUACUUCUGUGGAUUGGGGAUUGGGGAUUGGGGAACUGGGGGACUGAAUGGGCUAAGCUCACGCACAGACACGCCCCCAGUCCCGAAAAUGUUAUUUUAACUACAUUUCGGCUUUUUAUGGCGCUGCCCCUCGAACCGUCGUCUUUUGUCUGGACGUUCCUUAUGGCGAAAUAUCGUACAUUUAUUAAUACAUAAUCAUCUUUGUUGUCGAGCAGCGGCAACAUGAGAACCGGCCGCAUGGAGAUGGCGAUGGAGAUGGAGAUAGAGGCCCUCGAAGGUCCCCGCGGACGACUUUUGUGUGCUCCCCAGUGAGCUGUGGCCCAUUCAGAAAUAAAGCAGUAAAAUCGUAAUAGA